GCGGUGGUUCAGUGGUAGAGCACUCGCCUAGCAUGUGCAAGGCCCUGGGUUCAAUCCCCAGUACCACA
rnacentral:tRNA from 1 species